rnacentral:lncRNA from 1 species
AUAAGUUCUUAUAGCUGGGUCGAUACUCCCCUGAGACAUUGAUGGAUGAGGGCAGAAAGGCCAGGAGGUUCCAGUGGGGCCUCCGCCCAGAGAUCAAGCGGCACUUAUUGGUACUAGAGCUUAAGAUAUAUUCAGCCGUUCUGGCAAAGGCGUAGAUCGUGGAGGGGAGUUUCAGCACCCUUUCCCAAUCAGCAGGGAGUCACAGACCCUCAGCUCC